AUUGAACGCUGGCGGAAUGCUUUACACAUGCAAGUCGAACGGCAGCACGGACUUCGGUCUGGUGGCGAGUGGCGAACGGGUGAGUAAUGUAUCGGAACGUGCCCAGUCGUGGGGGAUAACGUAGUGAAAAUUACGCUAAUACCGCAUACGAUCUAUGGAUGAAAGCGGGGGAUCGCAAGACCUCGCGCGGUUGGAGCGGCCGAUAUCAGAUUAGGUAGUUGGUGGGGUAAAGGCCCACCAAGCCAACGAUCUGUAGCUGGUCUGAGAGGACGACCAGCCACACUGGAACGGAGACACGGUCCAGACUCCUACGGGAGGCAGCAGUGGGGAAUUUUGGACAAUGGGCGAAAGCCUGAUCCAGCCAUUCCGCGUGCAGGAUGAAGGCCCUCGGGUUGUAAACUGCUUUUGUACAGAACGAAAAGGUUUCUACUAAUACUAGAAGCUCAUGACGGUACUGUAAGAAUAAGCACCGGCUAACUACGUGCCAGCCGCCGCCGUAA
rnacentral:rRNA from 1 species